rnacentral:ncRNA from 1 species
CAACCUCAACUCAUAUGGGACUACCCCCUGAAUUUAAGCAUAUUAAUUAGGGGAGGAAAAGAAACUAACAAGGAUUUUCUUAGUAGCGGCGAGCGAAAAGAAAUCAGUUCAGCACUAAGUCACUUUGUCUAUAUGGCAAAUGUGAGAUGCAGUGUACGGAACAUCAACAUUCUAGUAUGAGAAGUUAACGAUUUAAGUCCUUCUUAAAUGAGGCCAUUUACCCAUAGAGGGUGCCAGGCCC